UUGGAGGGCAAGUCUGGUGCCAGCAGCCGCGGUAAUUCCAGCUCCAAUAGCGUAUAUUAAAGUUGUUGCAGUUAAAAAGCUCGUAGUUGAAUUUCGGGAUCAGUAUGUUGGUCGUGCUUCGGUACGUACUGUCAUUACUGGUUUCUCCCUUCUGAAGAACCACGAUGUCAUUAAUUUGGUGUCGUGGGGAAUCAGGACUGUUACUUUGAAAAAAUUAGAGUGUUUAAAGCAGGCUAAAGCUUGAAUAGAUUAGCAUGGAAUAACGAAAUAGGACGUUUGAUCUUAUUUUGUUGGUUUCUAGGAUUGACGUAAUGAUUAAUAGGGAUAGUUGGGGGCAUUAGUAUUCAAUUGUCAGAGGUGAAAUUCUUGGAUUUAUUGAAGACUAACUACUGCGAAAGCAUUUGCCAAGGAUGUUUUCAUUAAUCAAGAACGAAAGUUAGGGGAUCGAAGACGAUCAGAUACCGUCGUAGUCUUAACCAUAAACUAUGCCGACUAGGGAUCGGAUGAUGUUAAUUUUUUAAUGACUCAUUCGGCGCCUUACGG
rnacentral:rRNA from 1 species